ensembl:ncRNA R08E3.12 ncRNA
UUUGACGUUUUCCCAAAUGUUCAUCCAAUUGUAAUUCCACAUGCCUUAUCUAUUGGAAGGUCAUUACUAUGUUCCAGACGCUCUUCUCACUGCCACAAAAAACCGGGUUUUUUUCUCCAUCGUAAGGAGGAGACAUAGUGCGGAGAGGGAGGAAGUCUCCCUGCUGCAGCUAGUAUGGUCUGAAAAGAUCCCGUCGUCUUCACUUUAACCUUGCCGACCUUCUAGGCCACCCGCAACGGCAUCCCCUCUCCCCCAGUGCCUUCUCUC